ACGGAGGGGGCAAGCGUUGUUCGGAAUUAUUGGGCGUAAAGGGCGUGUAGGCGGCCAAACAAGUCGGAUGUGAAAUCCCUCGGCUCAACUGAGGAACUGCAUUCGAUACUGCUUGGCUAGAGUCCGGGAGGGGGUAGUAGAAUUCCCAGUGUAGCGGUGAAAUGCGUAGAUAUUGGGAAGAACACCAGUAGCGAAGGCGGCUACCUGGACCGGAACUGACGCUGAGGCGCGAAAGCCAGGGGAGCGAAUGGGA
rnacentral:rRNA from 1 species